rnacentral:rRNA from 1 species
AUGGCACGGGUGGCCAGGGACUUGAAGAUCUGGAGCAAAUCGCUAUUCAGCAACGCCAAAGUGCAACUACACCUCGCCACCGAAAUUGUCCUGUGCUUAGACGUAGCACAAGAGAAUAGGGCGCUUUCAAAUGAGGAAUUCCACCUUCGGAAAUUACUAAAGCUACGAAUUCUAGGGCUGGCUGCAAUCAAGAGGGCAAGAAAACGGCAAGCCUCCCGAGUUACAUGGCUGCGGGCCGGAGACGCCCCGACCGCCUUCUUUGAGGCAAAGAUUAAUUCUAGAAAUAGGAAGAAGUUCAUCCACACUCUGCAUGGGCCUGCAGGUGUGAUCACUUCGCAGGAGGACAAUGAAGCGCUAAUCCAUGAUCAUUUCAACUCCUUGCUAGGGACGUCGGUUCGCCGCGACACCACCAUCCACUGGAACUCUCUCGACCUACCUCGCCUGCAAGGGGGAGGCUUAGACAACCCCUUCACAGAGGAAGAAGUAUGGCUCGCGAUCAAAUCCUCUCCAGCCGAGCGAUCACCGGGGCCGGACGGCUUCUCUGGCACCUUCUACAGAUCUUGCUAG